UGAUUGAAAUGUGAGUCCCAGUCUUGUGCAGGGGAGUCCUGGGGACCAUGACCAGAUGCUGAGAGGUGCUGAGUUCAGUGGGCACUCAGACCUCCUCCCUGCUCAGCCUCAUCGCAGCUGCUCCGUCUCCUUGCCAUGAAAUCUGAGCUCAGAGGAGAUGGGUUCUGGCAGCAUGGGAGCUAAUAAGCAAGACAGUGGAGCGCUCAGCGGAGCAGCGUUCCCUUUGGUUAGUGACCUAAUCCCCCAGGAGAGCGACGGCCCAGCUGGCAGCCGAACACACAGGAAAAUAGGUUACAUUGCUUGAUUAGAGCGGGCCUUCAAAGAGCAGGGCUGGCACUGGCACGGGCACCAGGGGCCAUGGAAAUGUCACCCUGAUAAGACCCGAGUGUUGUGUACAAUCCCUGAGCUCUAGGGACCAGCUCUCGAUUAAGGGCUGGGAGUUUCCAUUCUCAGCCCACGUCAGACUCCCAUGUGGUGCCCCAGGGUUAGGUCAAGAGGAGGUGGCUGGAAGGUGCCCGUCUCAGGCUGUAUUGUUCCUGCCACUGUGCAGCAGCCACACUCCUUUCAGCUUAAGUGAGUUUGGGGCUGGAGUCUGAACUCCUUGGGACAUCCCCAGAGGUGGGAUGAUGGGACAAUGCCAGGGCAAGCUUACUUUGCCCUGUCCCUCUGCCAGCAUGAUUUCCCUAUCACCCGCUGUGACCUCCUUCGGUGGAAGAGGGGUUUCAUUCUCCAUGUUCAUCAGGGCUUGGCCCCUCUGCUGAGGUGCUGGCAAGAGGCCAGAUCCCAGAAGUGACUUUUGUGAUGGGGACACCUGGCUGCCAGAAGCUGAGCUGAGGUCCCCACCCGAUUCAGUGCACACAGACCCCUGAGCCCUGGCAGCCGGAGUGGCUCCCAGCCAGCUCCAGAUAUGUCCCAGUGACUGAUGCCCCAGUGCCAGCCCUUCCUGCAGUGUUAACACUGACAUCCUGUGAGCUCUGGAGCUGAGAAUGUAUCCCAGGAACUCAAAUGCCAGGUAAGCUCCCAGUUUUCCACCUGGUCAUCAAGCCUGGGCUCUGUACAGCCUUCUAGACCCUCUGGAUUUGGCCCCAUUUCCAUGCACUGGGCCAAGCCCCAUAGCUUGUUUAACAACAUUCACCCAGUGCUCGGUGGUGGUGUCAGUGCUGAGAGGAGAGGGAAUCUGCUUUUCCUCUGCCUGGGGCAUCUGACAUCUGUGCCAGAACUGGUGCAGCAGGGUGAGCAGCACAACUUGCCCUGCUGUGCCUGCGCCACUGGGAGGUGACUGCAGUCCUGACUUGCAGGGUUUCUCUCACAGAGGAUAGAGUUCUUUCCCCAUGUUAUUUUGGAAGCAAUUGGUUUGUACCAGUUGGUGCCAAGAUCAAUAUCCUCCUCUCCCUCCCCCAGCCCUGAACUGCAUGUUCUAGUGUCCCUGUCUCUGAGCUGCAGAUUAUUCUCACAGGACAGCUGCAGAAAAAGCCACAGGGGCUCCCCCACCCUACCUGUGUACAGCUGGCUGAGGAUCCCUCCCACCGCCAGGAUGGGAGAAGAGUGAAAGCAAUUAUUGGCCUUCCUGAGCAGGGAACUUUAUAAAUCUGCCAUAUGCUGCAGGAGCAGGGAAGCUGCAGCCUCAUUCCUGCAGCUCUGCUGGGUCCUAGAGGGGAAGGCAAAGGUUGCACCAGGCAUAUGGCUUCCUCUGGCUGCCCUUCACUGCGGGCGAACACCCGAGUGGCUCUGUGCCCAAACAGGGAUAUUUGGCAAGUGAAUUCACUGGGAAGGGAAGCCAUACCAAUGCGUAUCUGAAUGCUCCACCGAGCACUGCUUCCGAGAGGGAGCUGUGCGAGGGGCAGGGAUAACCUAUCCCCUUGUGGUGGAGCUCAAGAAAAAUAUCACCUCGUGUGCUUACUCUGCACAGGAGCGAACAUCAUUCUGCCGAGCUGAGUGCCCAUGGGUGUGGUCUGUCACAACGAGGCCCCCUCUCUGCCAUAAGAACAGUGUUUGCCGCACUGGAUCAGACCAUUGGUCCAAUCUGGCACCCUGGCUCUGGCUUCAGAAUACAGUGAUGCGCUCCUCCCCUGACGUGGGCAUUGCCGAGGGGGCAGUUAUUCCACACAGCCAUGUUUCUGCAAGCUACCUGUGCUUGUUCUCCCAGCAGCACGUGCCCCUGGGGAGAAUAGGGGUGGGGUGGUCUCCUCUCCCAGCUCACACACCCAUGAUCCACAUGAACAAUUUUCAAGCAAGGCGAAAGGGCGGGUCUCAGCAAAGGGGGUGUUGGCAGGAGAAGUCGUGCCCAAUCUGCUUGGCCACUGAGCAGGGGGGAGGUGAAGCUUUCAGGAGCCCGCCAGCGUUCAGUGGAUUUGCAGUUUGAUCCUGGACCUAUCCAGGGCUUCUGCAGAAAUAACGUUUCAUUAAAUGUUUCUCGACCCCUCCCCCCCACAGUUAAGGGGAUUUGCAGUGCUGCACAUUGACUAGUGCUGGGUUGUGAACUUUAGCCGCUACUCCAAGGGUCUGUGUAUAUUGUCCUGGAAAUGUGGGUUUAGUGGCUUUAAUCUGGGUGGAGGACACUGCUGGGCUGAAAUAGUUUCUCAUCGUUUAGUAGAAACAAUCUGACUUUAGGGGAAAUAAAUUAAUCUAAGCUACAAUUGCUUUGUACACCUCUACCUCAAUACAGCGCGACCCAAUAUAACACGAAUUCGGAUACAACGCAGUAAAGCAGGGCGGGGGCGGGGCUGCGCACUCCAGUGGAUCAAAGCAAGUUCGAUAUAAUGCCGUUUCACCUACAACGCGCUAAAGCAGAGCUGACUGCCAUGCUGAGGCUCCAGACAGAUACAGGGCCCGAUACCUUGAAUCACAGCUGCAUAGAGCAGGAGUUAGUUCCAGCAACUUGCGAAAGAGAGGCAGCUGCUGCUUUCCAGUAAACAUGAUGUUCUGAAGCCUCAGGUUAAAAGCGAUCUCAAAAAACACUUACGAAGGAGGUCAGCAACAUCACCCCCAUGGGACAGACAGGGAAACUGAAGCCCAGAGAAGCAGUGAUUUGCCAAAGGUCAGUGGCAGAGUCAAGAAUGGAACGAGCCUCAACGCAGCGCCCUGGACUCCCCAAUCUAGGUCAGUCUCCUGCCUCUCCCAGACAUCAAUGCUGAGAGGGAAGGACUUAGUCAUUAGUUGUGCGCCCUGGUCUGACGUCAUCCUGUGAUGUGGAUCUGUCCUUUAGCUGGGGGCAGAAGGCAGCUGGCCUACAGGGCUCAUUAGCCACAGUGACCUGAGAGGUCUUUGUGCCCAAGUGCUCCCAUCCCAGUGUCGGUCUUUCUGCGAGGAGGAUCCGUCUUUUUGGGCUUUGCCAUCCCAAUAUUUGGGGCUUUCCUUCUGUCAGAGUAGUGCCCCCGGAGCCCUCUUGGGACCAAGGCCCUGCUGUGCUAGGGGCUGUACAAAGAACAAAGGCAGGCCCUGCCCCCGUGCGGGUCUGGACAGAAGGCCGGGGACAAGGGGCAGCUGAGGCCAUGCAGAGGCAGCACCCAUCGCGUGGCCUGGAACAGCAGGCUAAGUGGGUGGGUGUCAGCACUGGAGCGGGGCGCACAGGGUC